GGGUGCUGCAUUCCAAACUGGAUAUCUAGAGUACAGGAGAGGAAAGCGGAAUUCCUAGUGUAGCGGUGAAAUGCGUAGAGAUUAGGAAGAACACCAGUGGCGAAGGCGGCUUUCUGGACUGUAACUGACGCUGAGGCAUGAAAGCGUGGGGGGCAAA
rnacentral:rRNA from 1 species